GAGGUUGUAGCUCAGUGGUAGCGUGCUCACCUAGCACGUGUGAGGCCCUGGGUUCAAUCCUCAGCACCACA
rnacentral:tRNA from 1 species